UCUUCUAUUCCCCCAAGUCGCACCCCCAAAUCAGGCAGCCUUCCACCCCUGAUCCCAUCCGCUGCCGACCAACCUUCGCCGCUCCUGACCUCAGCGGCAGUCGAUAACCCUCCACCGUCCCCGACCCUAGCCUCACCCUUCGCCGUCCCUGACCUCUACCGCACCCGGCUUCCUUCCCGACCACCUUGGCGGGCUAGGGUUUGACACCGCCGGCCCUCCUGGUCGUCCUCCGGUUGGUCGCUAGAGGAAACGGCUUCCACCCUCCUUCCAAAGCCUGUGAGCACGGAUGUGGCUCCUCCCACCAUUCCUUCCCCUCUCCUGCUUGGAGCCGCCUGUGACAACGGAUCUGGCUCUCCUCCACCAGCGGCGGAUGGGAUGGCGCGGAUCCACCUCUUCUCCACAAGCACCGGCUGAGACGACGUGGAUUCGCAUCUCCCCCUCCCUCCUUGCCAUGGCCGCCUUUAUCCGUUGCGCCCCCGCCUUGCAGCUCCGCUUCUGGACGGAGAUUUGGAGGAGUACCCGCCGCUCACGGUGGCUUCAAGCCUUGUUCCCAACUGGCCCUAGAGGCACACUGUUAUGGCUCAUUUAUAUACGGGGGUAGGGGGGCUUCAAGCCUUGUUCCCAACCCGCCGCUCACGGUGGCUUCAAGCCUUCUUCACUAAGGGUGCAAGCUCGACUGAUUCAACGGUCUACCUUGGUGUGAUGGCUCCCCGUCAACAACCAGGUUGACGAUGGCCUAUGCUAGCUUCAGUUUCUUACCCUGUUCCAGUCUGCUGGAAGUGUCUCUGCUGCCUCCCCAAGAUGCUGGAAGGUCACCUCCAUCGAUGCUCUCUCCGCCGCUUCCGCAAGCCGCCAGACUGUACAGUUCUGCAAGGAAAAAGAAUGGAAAAGGAAUAGAAGAAGACAAUGCUGAAGCACAAGAGCAAGAGAGGCUAGCUAUACUUAAAGCAAGGAAUAGUGAUGAUUUUGAACGAUUUGGGUCCUUUACAUUCUCAAAUCUAAAAGAAGAUUUUGGAGGACGAGCCAGUCAGCGACAAAAUAAAAGAAAGAAGCAAACAAAUAUUGAUAUACUUGUCUUGAGCCGUGGAGCGUGAGGGUCCGUCAUCUCGCUAUGUCCAUACUUGAUAUCCUGUGUGCUACUUGCGUGUGGGCUGUUGGAGUGUUGGUGCUGUUCGGCAGAGAAUAAGAUAUUGGGUUGCUGAGCUGCGACGUUUCUCAAAGAUUGACAAGUUGAUGGAGGUUUGGGAGAUCUACAGGUUGACGAAGAUUAUGAACGCCUACAAUUAAGUCAGUGUAGUGACAAUGGAAUAUGCCUUGUUUGUUGAACCUGGAGACUUGCUCUGCUCAUUUUGGUGGUUGUUAAGUCAAUGUAUGCUCAUGUUGGUUGUGUGGUGCAUCAAGAAAUAAAUGUGUUUCUCCUUUUUUGGCACAACUUCGGCUUGGUUGUGUGGCACAUCUAAAAACAAAUAUAAGCACUUCUUUUGUGGCACAACGUCUUUGUAUAUGAUUGCUAUGAUUAUUGAGUGAAGUUCAAUACUUAUGACGA